UUAGCAUUUUUGUUGAAUACUUUUACACUGCAAAUAUUUAACCUAAUGCGUAUACAACAUUUUGCUGAACCAUAAAAUUAAGUGAGUUUAAUUGAAAUUGCCAAAUCGUGUUGAGCAAGGACAGCGUACGUGGAGUCAGAUGUAUUGAAGAUUUGUGAUCAUGUGGUCAACAACACUCCUGCUCUAAAAUUUAGAGUCUAAAUACAGUGUAAUGUUAACUUUACUGAAAAUAUAGUGGAAGAUGUCGCAGGUAAAAUUCACUCUUGUAAUUGUAAUUAUUUCUGCGAGUAGUGCUCUUCUCAGGUCACAAUCAUCCGACACGUCCGGAGAAUCAGUGUGUCUUUGCAGGUCGUCUAAUCCAUGUCCACCGAGUCCAAUAUUUUCGUUUAUGAAACAAGAAUGUGUAUCGAUGGAGUUCAUGAGGAUGAGCUUAUCGGACGAUGUGCCGGUAAUUAGCUGUCCUCCGGGCCAACGCUAUUCCCGUUUUGUUAAGGAAUGUGUCGCAGUGAUACAGCCGGGAGAAAUAGUCAAAGGUUCAAGUGUUGGUUAAGUGAAUACUCAUCAAAACAAAAGUAAAUUUUUCUUUGCUAAAAUAAAUAAAAAUUGUUACAUA